rnacentral:rRNA from 1 species
ACGUACACUCCUGCGGGAGGCAGCAGUGGGGAAUAUUGCACAAUGGGUGCAAGCCUGAUGCAGCGACGCCGCGUGGGGGAUGAAGGCCUUCGGGUUGUAAACUCCUUUCGCUAGGGACGAAGCUUUUUUGUGACGGUACCUAGAUAAGAAGCACCGGCUAACUACGUGCCAGCAGCCGCGGUAAUACGUAGGGUGCGAGCGUUGUCCGGAAUUACUGGGCGUAAAGGGCUCGUAGGUGGUUUGUCGCGUCGUCUGUGAAAUUCUGGGGCUUAACUCCGGGCGUGCAGGCGAUACGGGCAUAACUUGAGUGCUGUAGGGGUAACUGGAAUUCCUGGUGUAGCGGUGAAAUGCGCAGAUAUCAGGAGGAACACCGAUGGCGAAGGCAGGUUACUGGGCAGUUACUGACGCUGAGGAGCGAAAGCAUGGGUAGCGAACAGGAUUAGAUACCCGUGUAGUCC